rnacentral:rRNA from 1 species
CCUACGGGUGGCAGCAGUGGGGAAUAUUGGGCAAUGGGCGCAAGCCUGACCCAGCAACGCCGCGUGAAGGAAGAAGGCUCUCGGGUUGUAAACUUCUUUUCUCAGGGACGAAGCAAGUGACGGUACCUGAGGAAUAAGCCACGGCUAACUACGUGCCAGCAGCCGCGGGAAUACGUAGGUGGCAAGCGUUAUCCGGAUUUACUGGGGGUAAAGGGCGUGUAGGCGGGAAAGCAAGUCAGAUGUGAAAACCAUGGGCUCAAACUGUGGCCUGCAUUUGAAACUGUUUUCCUUGAGUACUGGAGAGGCAGACGGAAUGCGUGGUGUUGCGGUGAAAUGCGUAGAUAUUAGGAGGAACACCAGUGGCGAAGGCGGUCUGCUGGACAGCAACUGACGCUGAGGCGCGAAAGCGUGGGGAGCGAACAGGAUUAGAUACCCGAGUAGUC